GCUGGAGGUCGAAUUGGAAAUAACUCCAGUGCUGGAAUUCAAACUGCCUUGGUUAAUGGUCUCAUUUUCUGCAGAUAUCUGCGGAAAAACAGGAGCCGUCCAGGAUAACGCAGUUCCUGCUGCAACCGCACCCAAACAAACUCCGCCACAUAUUGCCGGGUCUUCGAAGUCCUCGAUUCGCUUUCUUGCAGAAGAUCGUAGGUUAUUGGAUUGCGUGUAUCCCCAUCCUCUUGACUAACAGUCUGCAAAAAGAAGAACUUUCUUUAGGAACUGUUCAAAAGAUUAUUUCACAAUUAAUAGUCUCCAUUUAUAAUGAUUACGAUUGCUGCCCUGAUCGGUUUCCUCACUGGCCUGGUAUUAAUAAUAGGCAAGUGUCUAGUGUUUCUGUGGACUUUGUUGAAAACCAUAUACGUAACUCUGAAAAUUGCUAGGACCUUAAGGAAAACACCAACAUUUUCCGAUGUAAGGGCUCAAUUCAAGGAGUUUUCCCUCGCUAAAGGGAAAACUAUAUUAAAAGAAAAGUUAAAUAAAUUUUAAAUUCUGCACGCAAUAAACUUUUAAGAUAUGUCCAACUUACAUCCUCAAUGGUUAAUUAUGAUUUGAAACCCUUUUUCAUUUAAAAACACAAUUUAAAACCAAUUUAAAAAUAAAACCUACAGUACAUUUGGCACAUUUA